rnacentral:rRNA from 1 species
AUACGGAGGGUGCGAGCGUUAAUCGGAAUUACUGGGCGUAAAGCGUGCGUAGGCGGUUUGUUAAGUCAGAAGUGAAAGCCCUGGGCUCAACCUGGGAACGGCUUUUGAGACUGGCAGACUAGAGUUGAGUAGAGGGGAGUGGAAUUUCCGGUGUAGCGGUGAAAUGCGUAGAGAUCGGAAGGAACACCAGUGGCGAAGGCGACUCCCUGGACUCAAACUGACGCUGAGGUACGAAAGCGUGGGUAGCAAACGGGAUUAGAAACCCUAGUAGUCC